AUGGAGUUUGGGCUGAGCUGGGUUUUCCUUGUUGCUAUUUUAAAAGGUGUCCAGUGUGAAGUGCAGCUGGUGGAGUCUGGGGGAGGCUUGGUAAAGCCUGGAGGGUCCCUGAGACUCUCCUGUGCAGCCUCUGGAUUCACGUUUGAUGAUUAUGCCAUGAGCUGGGUCCGCCAGGCUCCAGGGAAGGGUCUGGAGUGGGUAUCUCGGAUUAGUUGGGAUGGUGGUAGCACAUAUUACGCAGACUCCGUGAAGGGCCGAUUCACCAUCUCCAGAGACAACGCCAAGAACACACUGUAUCUGCAAAUGGACAGGCUGAGAGCUGAGGACACGGCCUUGUAUUACUGUAGUAGAGACACAAGACCCCCGGUUGCAGAUUCAUGGAGUCAGGUGUUUGUGCGUGUGGGAACCUCGAGCUGUGCUGAACUCAGUGAACUCAGUGAACACGGCCGAGAACUAACUGUGGGAAAGUGA